rnacentral:rRNA from 1 species
UACGAAGGGGGCUAGCGUUGCUCGGAAUUACUGGGCGUAAAGGGUGUGUAGGCGGAUAGUUUAGUCAGAGGUGAAAGCCCAGGGCUCAACCCUGGAAUUGCCUUUGAUACUGGCUAUCUUGAGUUCGGGAGAGGUAAGUGGAACUCCGAGUGUAGAGGUGAAAUUCGUAGAUAUUCGGAAGAACACCAGUGGCGAAGGCGACUUACUGGCCCGAUACUGACGCUGAGACACGAAAGCGUGGGGAGCAAACAGG